rnacentral:tRNA from 1 species
GGCCCCUUAGCUCAGUGGUUAGAGCUGGCGACUCAUAAUCGCUUGGUCGCUGGUUCAAGUCCAGCAGGGGCCACCA